UAUUACAGAAGUCACGGCUAACUACGUGCCAGCAGCCGCGGUAAUACGUAGGUGGCAAGCGUUAUCCGGAUUUAUUGGGCGUAAAGAGAGUGCAGGCGGUUUUCUAAGUCUGAUGUGAAAGCCUUCGGCUUAACCGGAGAAGUGCAUCGGAAACUGGAUAACUUGAGUGCAGAAGAGGGUAGUGGAACUCCAUGUGUAGCGGUGGAAUGCGUAGAUAUAUGGAAGAACACCAGUGGCGAAGGCGGCUACCUGGUCUGCAACUGACGCUGAGACUCGAAAGCAUGGGUAGCGAACAGGAUUAGAUACCCUGGUAG
rnacentral:rRNA from 1 species